rnacentral:rRNA from 1 species
GAUGAACGCUGGCGGCGUGCUUAACACAUGCAAGUCGAACGAUGAAGCCCAGCUUGCUGGGCGGAUUAGUGGCGAACGGGUGAGUAACACGUGAGUAACCUGCCCUUGACUCUGGGAUAAGCCCGGGAAACUGGGUCUAAUACCGGAUAGGAGCGCCUGUCGCAUGACGGGUGCUGGAAAGAUCUUUCGGUCAUGGAUGGACUCGCGGCCUAUCAGCUUGUUGGUGAGGUAACGGCUCACCAAGGCGACGACGGGUAGCCGGCCUGAGAGGGUGACCGGCCACACGGGGACUGAGACACGGCCCAGAUCCCUACGGGAGGCAGCGGGGGGGAAUAUUGCACAAGGGGCGAAAGCCUGAGGCAGCGACGCCGCGGGAGGGAGGACGGCCUUCGGUUGGUAAACCUCUUUCAGCAGGGAAGAAGCUAAAGUGACGGUACCUGCAGAAGAAGCACCGGCUAACUACGUG